AAGGUCCGGAGCCGAAGGGAAACCAAGUCUGAAUAGGGCGCAUAGUCAGUCGGAGUAGACCCGAAACCGGGUGAUCUAUCCAUGUCCAGGUUGAAGUUGCCGUAAAAGGCAAUGGAGGACCGAACCCACAUCCGUUGAAAAGGGUGGGGAUGAGGUGUGGAUAGGGGAGAAAUUCCAAUCGAACCCGGAGAUAGCUGGUUCUCCUCGAAAUAGCUUUAGGGCUAGCCUCAUACGAGUCUUGCGGAGGUAGAGCACUGAAUUCCUAAGGGGGCGUCAAAGCUUACUAAGGGAUAUCAAACUCCGAAUGCCGUGUAGAUGAUGUAUGGGAGUCAGACGAUCCGAGAUAAGUUGGGUGGUCAAAAGGGAAAGAGCCCAGACCAACAGCUAAGGCCCCAAAAUGUGUGUUAAGUGGAAAAGGAUGUGGGAUUUCGAAGACAACUAGGAUGUUGGCUCAGAAGCAGCCAUUCAUUCAAAGAGUGCGUAAUAGCUCACUAGUCGAGAGGUCCUGCGCCGAAAAUGUCCGGGGCUAAAACACACUGCCGAAGCUUUGGAAUUGAGAAUUCAAUUGGUAGAGGAGCAUUCUUAAAGGGACGAAGCAGUACCGUAAGGAGCUGUGGACUUUUAAGAAGAGAGAAUGCCGGAAUGAGUAGCGAGAGGAAGGUGGGAAUCCUUCCGGCCGAAUAUCUAAGGUUUCCAGAGUAAAGCUGAUCUGCUCUGGGUAAGUCGGGGCCUAAGGCGAGGUCGAAAGACGUAGUCGAUGGAUAACAGGUUGAAAUUCCUGUACUAUCCUGUAACAGAACUGUGGGGACACAGGCAGAGAGCGUGAGCCGGGAAUGGAAAGACCGGUACAAGCGAGGUAGGAGUCUGGUUGGCAAAUCCGCCAGGCAAUCUGAAGACGUGAUGUGGACUGAAAAUAAGUAGGGAAGCACGUGAGCUGACUGUCAAGAAAAGCCGCUAUUGUUUGCAGGAUACCCGUACCGUAAACCGACACAGGUGGAUGAGGAGAGAAUCCUAAGGCCGACGGGAGAAGCAUUGUUAAGGAACUCGGCAAAAUGACUCCGUAACUUCGGGAGAAGGAGUGCCAGUAAGAUGGCCGCAGAGAAUUGGCCCAAGCAACUGUUUAGCAAAAACACAGGUCUAUGCAAAACCGAAAGGUGAGGUAUAUGCUGACGCCUGCCCGGUGCUGGAAGGUUAAGGGGAGAGGUUAGCGCAAGCGAAGCUUUGAACUUAAGCCCCAGUAAACGGCGGCCGUAACUAUAACGGUCCUAAGGUAGCGAAAUUCCUUGUCGGGUAAGUUCCGACCCGCACGAAAGGCGUAAUGAUUUGGGCACUGUCUCAACAAUGCACCCGGUGAAAUUGAAAUACCAGUGAAGAUGCUGGUUACCUGCGCCAGGACGGAAAGACCCCAUGGAGCUUUACUCCAGCUUGAUACUGGGAUUCGGUAUUGCAUGUACAGGAUAGGUGGGAGGCUAGGAAAUGGUAACGCCAGUUGCCAUGGAGCCAAUGUUGGGAUACCACCCUUGCAGUACUGGGUUUCUAACCAGCAGCCGUGAUCCGGCUGGGGGACAAUGUCAGGUGGGGAGUUUGACUGGGGCGGUCGCUCCGAAAGGGUAUCGGAGGCGCUCAAAGGUUCCCUCAGAAUGGUUGGAAACCAUUCGAAGAGUGCAAAGGCAGAAGGGAGCUUGACUGCGACACCGACGGGUGGAGCAGGUACGAAAGUAGGACUUAGUGAUCCGGUGGUAUAAAGUGGGAUUGCCAUCGCUCAACGGAUAAAAGCUACCCUGGGGAUAACAGGCUUAUCACUCCCAAGAGUUCACAUCGACGGAGUGGUUUGGCACCUCGAUGUCGGCUCAUCGCAUCCUGGGGCUGAAGUAGGUCCCAAGGGUUGGGCUGUUCGCCCAUUAAAGCGGUACGCGAGCUGGGUUCAGAACGUCGUGAGACAGUUCGGUCCCUAUCCGGCGUGGGCGUAAGAUAUUUGAGAGGAGCUGUCCUUAGUACGAGAGGACCGGGAUGGACUGGCCGCUGGUGUAUCUGUUGUCUUACCAAAGGCAUAGCAGAGUAGCCAAGCCGGGAAGGGAUAAACGCUGAAGGCAUCUAAGCGUGAAGCCCCCCUCAAGAUGAGAUAUCUCAUAACGUCAAGUUAGUAAGACCCCUUGAAGACGACGAGGUAGAUAGGGCAGAGGUGGAAGUGUGGUAACACAUGGAGCUGACUGUUACUAAUAGGUCGAGGGCAUAACCAAA
rnacentral:rRNA from 1 species